rnacentral:tRNA from 1 species
GGUUUUAUUUUAUCAGCCUCAUGAGGCCUGCUGGACUCUAAAUCCAGCAAUCCAAGUUCAAAUCUCGGUGAGACCU